GCCUGUUAUACAAAUGCAGCAUGCUGUGGAAAAAACAGAUCUUUUUACCAAUAAUAGUGGAUAUGAUAGAAUUGAAUCAUUGUAAUUGGAUUGUACAUUGUAAGAGAUUGAUAAUAUUUUGAAAAAUCAAAUAUUUAUGUUAAUACUCUCAAUUCUACUGAAGUUAGGACUUUGGAAACUUCUAUUGAGGUAUAAGCUCUUCUCCACAUGAAAAACUAGUUAUGACAUUAAAUUUAAUUUAUAUGCCUUACUAAAAUAAAAACAUGUUUACCUGUAUUAAAAUGAGACAAGAACUGAAGAAGCAAGAC
rnacentral:lncRNA from 1 species